rnacentral:rRNA from 1 species
AGAGUUUGAUCCUGGCUCAGGAUGAACGCUGGCGGCGUGCUUAACACAUGCAAGUCGAGCGCGGUCCCUUUGGUGCUUGCACCAAAGAAGACUGAGCGGCGGACGGGUGAGUAACGCGUGGGUAACCUGCCCUAUACACAUGGAUAACAUGCUGAAAAGCAUACUAAUACAUGAUAACGUACACUGAUGGCAUCUUCGGUGUAUCAAAGCGUUAGCGGUAUAGGAUGGACCCGCGUCUGAUUAGCUAGUUGGUGGGGUAAAAGCCUACCAAGGCCACGAUCAGUAGCCGACCUGAGAGGGUGAUCGGCCACAUUGGAACUGAGACACGGUCCAAACUCCUACGGGAGGCAGCAGUGGGGAAUAUUGCACAAUGGGCGAAAGCCUGAUGCAGCAACGCCGCGUGAACGAUGAAGGUCUUCGGAUCGUAAAGUUCUGUCGCAGGGGAAGAUAAUGACGGUACCCUGUGAGGAAGCACCGGCUAACUACGUGCCAGCAGCCGCGGUAAU